rnacentral:rRNA from 1 species
ACGAAGGCCCCGAGCGUUAUCCGGAUUUACUGGGUGUAAAACGUCUGUAGAUGGUUUGAAAAGUUAAAUGUAAAAUCUUUUAGCUUAACUAAAUUCUUGCAUUUAAUACUAUCAGACUAGAGGACGGGGGAAGUAAGCGGAAUUGGUGGUGUAGUUGUAAUAAGCGUUAAUAUCACCAAGAACACCAAAAGCGAAGGCAGCUUACUAAAACGUUCCUGACAUUGAGAGACGAAAGCGUGGGUAGCGAUACG